rnacentral:rRNA from 1 species
GACGAACGCUGGCGGCGUGCUUAACACAUGCAAGUCGAACGGAAAGGCCCUGCUUCUGUGGGGUGCUCGAGUGGCGAACGGGUGAGUAACACGUGAGUAACCUGCCCUUGACUUUGGGAUAACUUCAGGAAACUGGGGCUAAUACCGGAUAGGAGCUCCUGCUGCAUGGUGGGGGUUGGAAAGUUUCGGCGGUUGGGGAUGGACUCGCGGCUUAUCAGCUUGUUGGUGGGGUAGUGGCUUACCAAGGCUUUGACGGGUAGCCGGCCUGAGAGGGUGACCGGCCACAUUGGGACUGAGAUACGGCCCAGACUCCUACGGGAGGCAGCAGUGGGGAAUAUUGCACAAUGGGCGGAAGCCUGAUGCAGCAACGCCGCGUGCGGGAUGACGGCCUUCGGGUUGUAAACCGCUUUCGCCUGUGACGAAGCGUGGGUGACGGUAAUGGGUAAAGAAGCACCGGCUAACUACGUG